GUCGGGAGGGCGGCAGCCAUACAACACCCGCAAGGGGAAAGCUGCCCGCCGUCUGAGUUCGGUUUCUAACCUCCCGACACCCAUAG
rnacentral:ncRNA from 1 species